rnacentral:lncRNA from 1 species
AAGUAGUGUGAUGCCUCCAGCUUUGUUCUUUUGGCUUAGGAUUGUCUUGGCAAUGUGGGCUCUUUUUUGUCGGGAAGGCGAGUCCUUGCUAUCAGUUUUUGUUGGAAUAGAAUCUAAAGCUCACGAUCCAAAGACUAGAGAGACUCAGUCACUGAAAAGUGAUUGACAUCUUUGGCACAACAACAGAAAUAUUGAGUAACUAAGAAUGAAACAUUAAACUUUUCUGUCUCACAGAUCUGGUUUAGUUAAAGAAGCCAAAGAAUUCUAACAGGAAACAAGUAAAGCUGCUCAAUCUCAUGCAAACAUAUGUCAUCCUGAACCAGAAAUACCAUUUGACCCAGCAAUCCCAUUACUGGAUAUAUACCCAAAGGAUUAUAAAUCAUUCUAUUAUAAAGAUACAAGCACAUAUAUAUUCAUUGCAGCAUUUUUCACAAUAGCAAAGACAUGGAAUCAACCCAAAUGCCCAUCAAUGAUAGACUGGAUAAAGAAAAUGUGGUACAUAUACACCAUGGAAUACUAUGCAGGAAA